UUAGUGUUAUUUGUGAUGACUGGGCGUAGGGUACGUCGGCGAAUAAUUAAAAACACAGUAAAAGACUGAGGAAUAACCUCUUUAAUCUGCGUUCACUGAUUAUUUUGAGUGCAGAAGACGGUUUUAGAAUUCCUGAAGAAAGGGUAAAAUUGUUGAUAUAGGAAAACUUUCGAUGGCGAAAGCAUUUACCGAUUCUGUUCUGACGCUAGGUACUAAAGCUUGGGGAGAAAGAGGAUUAGAGACCUCGUAGUCCUUGCCUUAAACAAUGAGUGUUCAACGUCUUAGAAUACUCGGAUCACAUAAUGAUGCGUCUG
rnacentral:rRNA from 1 species